rnacentral:rRNA from 1 species
GACGAACGCUGGCGGCGUGCCUAAUACAUGCAAGUAGAACGCAGUUGCGAACGGGUGAGUAACGCGUAGGUAACUACCUCAUAGCGGGGGAUAACUAUUGGAAACGAUAGCUAAUACCGCAUACUAUGAGAUGGACCUGCGUUGUAUUAGCUAGUUGGUGAGGUAACGGCUCACCAAGGCGACGAUACAUAGCCGACCUGAGAGGGUGAUCGGCCACACUGGGACUGAGACACGGCCCAGACUCCUACGGGAGGCAGCAGUGGGGAAUAUUGCACAAUGGGCGCAAGCCUGAUGCAGCCAUGCCGCGUGUGUGAAGAAGGCCUUCGGGUUGUAAAGCACUUUCAGCGAGGAGCGUUACUCGCAGAAGAAGCACCGGCUAACUCCGUGCCAGCCGCCGCGGUAAUAC